CCCCGGCGCCGGGGGCCGGAGGCCCGUCCGCCCUCGCCGCCCCUCGCUGUGGGGCCGGGGGACCGGCGCCGGUGCCGUCGGGGCACGGCCCGCCCGUAGGAGGGGUGUGCCCCGGGGGAGGCAGCUGUCCCGCUCCCCUCGGCCGAGGGGCUGCGCAGCUCGGGGCGGCUCGUUCAGCAGGAACCGGGACAUUGCCGCGGGGGGCUGUGCAAACCCAUUAGCACCCCAGCUUUCCUGCUUCAGGAGGAGGCUUCAGGAAUCGAGGGAGAACAGACCGAAGCUUGAGUGACAAAGAGGUAGCCCUCCCCGCUCACCAUACUGCCAGGUGCUUGUCUGAGACGCCGGAGAAACGAAAGGACUGGGCUUAUAGGAAGAAGACUGAGUGGUGCACACCCGCUCCCCUGAACGAUGCAGGAGAGACACUUCAAAUCUUUGAAGUUCUGUCGGUGACCCAGGAGGGAGCAGUAAACUAGGGUUGCAAGAGGCACUUCUCGAGACAAACUACCUGCUCUGUGCACACAUUUCUAGCAAACAGAAGGUACAGUUUAACACUGCCUAUAAAAUGGUCCUACUAAGAAACACCCUCUCAAAAAUUAGGGACUGUAGAGCAGCAAACUUCCCUAGUACAAGUGUGUGGCCUGCUAAUAUUCAAUUGUAUCAUCUCCACCUACUGGCCAGAAGAAACUAGCUGGCGCGCAGAACUGGUGAAAUGCAACCACUGCAUCCACAUGCUUCUUCAUGAUACCCAGGAUCAGGUGAGAUGAAUUCCAUGACUUUUAUCCAAUACUGAGCCCAUACCUCUCAAGUCUCAACAGAUGGCAAGCUGUCCUGAGAGAUGUUCUUUCUUGAAGAAAUACAAACGCCUUCAUGAUAACAAAAAAAGGGGGAAGGACCUCUACUAGACGGAAGCUUGGAUCCUGUUUGCUGCUUCUCAGAAGACAAUAAAUGCAUUUCUUAGAAUGGAAGAGACCAUCAGGCUCCAUACAAUCAAGUACAAUUGGCUAAGCUACCAAAAUAAGAGCGUAUUGAACGAUUAAAUACCAAAGGCUAAGGCUGCUCCUCAAAGAUGCACUAUAAAGUAUUUUGAAAAAGUAUGUGGGGUGGCAAAUACUUGACUUUUGUAUUAUUUUUAAUACCACCCUCACUGUGUUUGAAAGACUCAGUGUAUAUGUGCAAACCUAUAGAUACCAUGAAAGCAAAAAUAAAGCUCUAGUUCAAGAGCCCAAGGCAGCCGCAUACCCAGUACAUACAUGUGUACACAGAGUCAUCAGGAAAUUCACCUUCCUUAAUUAUUUCACCAAAAAUUCCAGCUGUGCAACACAUCUUACCCUCAUGCAGGUACUCCAUACAUGAGACUGAGAGACGUAGCUGUGUAGAGAACAACAGACAACAUUUGGCUUAACAGCAGCCGCUCUGUGCUGAGGAAUACCAGCCCUUACACUUGGUAUUGCUUUGGAGCUUCCGCAGAGAAAAAGCAGUGACAGAAUGCCACAGCAGCACACAAAUCCUGUGAAGUCUACAAAUCAUUUUCUUACACAGAUUUUGCACAGGAUUCUCAGGGAGAUUGUCCUGGUUCUGGCUGGGAUAGAGAUCUUGUAGAGAAAGGCAGACAAAGGAGACCAGACAUUUUAUCUCCAUCGAUAGCUUUCAUGAAGAACCUAGAGCUGCAAAGAGCAGUAGUUUCACCUUCAGAAUGGUAAGAACAGGUAAAGGUUUUUAGAUGGGGACUGACCGAAGCUUCAGGACAUGAGCUACUUUGGAAAGCAGUGCUCACGAAUGCUAAUUACUGUUACAUGCUUAAAUAAGUAAUAAAACAGUAAUACUGGAACACCG